UUGGAGGAGCCACAGUAUCCCCCUGCAGCUGGUGAACAAGUGCCCUGAAUUUCCCAUCAGCUUCUGAUAAGGUUGCGGGAUCACUGAAGACCCAGGUUGUACUGUAACAAGGAGCUGCUGUAAGAAGCUACUUUGAAAAACAUAAGAAAAGUGAAAGAUGAUGGAACCAAGGCCCAGGACCACUUGCCCAAAGUCACACAACUUAAAAGUUGCAGAGAUGGAACUCAAAUAAAGAUUAGCUUAAUCCUUAUGAUUUACAGGAAGCAUGGUGCCGGUACUGGCUUCUGCUAACAGCUCCAGGAAGCUUACAAUCAUGGUAGAAGGUGAAGGAGGAGGAGGCAUCUCACCUGGCAAGAGUGGGAGAGAGAGAAGGAAGUGCCAGACACUUUUAAACAACCAGAUCUCCCUUGAACUUACUCAUCACCAAGGGCAUGGCACCAAGCCUUUCAUGAGUGAUAUGUCCUCAUGAUGCAAACACCUCCCACCAGGCCCCACCACCAACACUGGAGAUUACAUUUCAAGAUACGAUUUGGCAGGUACAGGUACAAACCAUAUCAAUAACUGAAAAAUAUAAUAUCGGAAAUGAACUGUUAGAGCCUAGCAUAUUGAAGAUGACAGAAAAAAGAGUAAGUAAAUUUUAAAUUGAUUAAUAGAAAUUUUCCAAGCUGAAGAACACAGAGGAAAACUACUAGAAAAAAAAUUAAAGUAGAGAGCCUCGGGGACAUGUGGGACAAUAUAAAACUAUUUAAAUUACAUAUAAUUUGAGUUUCUGAAUGAAAGAAAAGAA